AUGAUUCAGAGAUGAUUUGUUUAUUUUAACAAUAAAUGAAGUUAAGUACCGACAAAUUUUAGUAGUAGAAAUUAGAGAGAUGGCAAAAUGUCAAAUUCUGAGUAGCAUUUGUGGGAAGAAAAUGUCACGGAGCACAUUGCGACUCUUUUGUGAUGCUAAUCCUGCUAGCAACUGCGGUCUGUAAUGACUUAAAUUGAAGCCACCACCAGUAAAUUUGCUGUAUUGGUGCAUGGUGCUGUACGGACGAAGCUGGAGCGGAAACGCCUUACUAAGAUGCUCCUGUACCUCUUCCCAGAAGGCAGGAUGGAGAACAGACUGCGGGAGGGAUGUGACGGGUCAGCUGUGAUGCUGCAGGCUGUGCCAGAACAGCACUGGUGAUAGCGAGGAGAGGAGUCGAGAGGAGCACUGAUGAUCUCGCUAGCUGCCUUCACUGCCUGGGCUAGUUGUUUCUGUUCGGGAGCUUUGCACUUACUGAGCCAUGAAGUGAUGUAGCUGGUUAAGAUGCUCUUAAAUGUGCCCCUGUACAAGAUGGUGAGGACUGGGAUGGGGACAUUUGCCUUAUUAAGCCUACAUAGGGAGUGCAAUGGCUAUUAGGCCUUCUUAAUGAUGGUUGUAGUAUUGGUGUUGGAGGACAGGUCGUCUGGAAGGUGUACCCCCACCGACCCUCUCCGCUGUAGCGCUGUCAAUGGUCAGUGGAGUGUGCAGGUGCAUGUGGGCUCUCUGGAAGUUAAUAACCAUCACCUUGAUCUUGCUGUUAAGGGAGAGGUUAUGGCUCUUGCACUGCACCUGUAUUCAAAGCUGUCUGUGCUUCCGUAGAUUAUUCAGUAAAGACUUCCACAGGUCUUUUCUGCAGAAAUGCAGGUAAUUCCCAGGAGGUCCCAAACUCAUUCUCAAUUAUGUAGGCGGUGUUAAUCAUAUCUCAAAGCCUGUUAAAUAUAAACCCAUAUGAAAGAGCCCUAAUUGGGCUUAAAAAUAGUUUCUCUGAGGCUGGUGAGGAUGAGCUUUUCUGUCUGCAGUGAAAAUGGCAAAAUUAACAUUUGAGUCAUAAUUUUCUCCGGCUUGUAAACUGAUAUGAAAGUCACUGCCCAGGAGGUCGAAGCCAUUUUAACAAGAGCAUUAAAAGCAGUUUUGCUAUGUUGUAAUGGUAAAUAUAAAAGUAUUUCUCAGAUGUGUAUUUUAGCAGAUCAGAUGUGUACAGUCUUACUGUAAACUGAAUUUUGAAAAGCAAGACAUUUACAACCAUGGUGGCCCUGUGUCUGAUAAGAAUGUUUCUAAACAGCUGCACCAGUGAGCAAUAGCUACACUAUAAGAACAGCACCCAUUAUGUCUCUGCUGUUUCCAGCCUCUCUAUUAGAAAAUGUCAAAACCCCAGGCUUUAAACCUGUUACGUGCCAAUCUGAUAUGUGCUCACACAGCCAAAUUACACAAAUUGCAAGUAACGAGUGAGCCAGAGCAGGGGAAAAGCCAGUAGUCUGAUAAGGCUGGCUUAUAUAGCAAAUUGACACUGGAACAAAGAUGUCCCCAGUGUUGUAAUAAUGGAAAACUAAGACAUGUCAAUUCUAGGAUCGCAGAGCUAAUUUUCCAGUCAUACUGUACCAAACCUCAGGGAAAGAUUAAAUGUAGUCAUUUAGCCAGUUGAAUAAUGUGUUUCUUGUCUGUUAUACUGUAUAAAUCUGCAUUCAUUUUAAUGCUGAUGGCCUAUCACUGAAACCAAACACAUUUAGCCAGUGUAUCUACAAGAUUAAUCUCUGCCCACAUUCAUUUAAUUUUAGGCUGAGGAAGAUGUCCAGAAGAUGUUGGUUAGGUUUGUGCAUGUGCAGCCACCAGAGGGCAAUGUAUAAGUGCACAUGUGCCUCCUGUGGGCAGCUACUGCAGCACAUAAUUGCAUGAGAUUUUGUGCACUAAUCUGUUCUGUUUAUCACCAUAGCCUGCCAUUUUGCUGCUGUAGUUUCCCAUCUCACCCCGUCUGGGAAUUACAUAUUAACAGCAUGUGGGGUCAGAGGUUGAACAUGUGUUUCCUUUUCCUCAGCCCAUUUGAUAAGCUGCUGUCAGAAACAGGUUUGCUCGGCCGGGCUGACUAAUGA